rnacentral:misc_RNA from 1 species
UCCGGCUUACCGCCGGCAGUCCCCUUAGAGUGCUCGACUUGACUCGUUAGCAACUAAGGGCAAGGGUUGCGCUCGUUGCGGGACUUAACCCAACAUCUCACGACACGAGCUGACGACAGCCAUGCAGCACCUGUGCACCAGUCCCGAAGGAAAGGCGUGUUUCCACGCCGGUCCAGUGCAUGUCAAGCCUGGGUAAGGUUCUUCGCGUUGCGUCGAAUUGAACCACAUGCUCCACCGCUUGUGCGGGCCCCCGUCAAUUCCUUUGAGUUUCAGCCUUGCGGCCGUACUCCCCAGGCGGGGCACUUAAUGCGUUAGCUGCGGCACUGGAGGGGUCAAUGCCUCCAACACCUAGUGCCCACCGUUUACGGCUAGGACUAC